AAGCGAAUGACGUCUGAUGACGUCAUCCAAUAGCCUUGAAACCAUCCUCUUGGUCCGUUUUCACAUUCAUAAUUGCAGGGUUUUUUUUUUUUUUUUGCGUAAAACUGUAAAACUAAAAUUUCCUUUGCGUGUUUAAUAGCAUUUAGCAAUUGUAAGAUUUACGGUGUUUUCUUUUUUUGGUUUGUUUUUUAUAAAAUCCGAGUAGCAGGGGAAAUCGGUAUAAGAAAACUGGCACAGACUGCAUCAAGUUAGUAGCUUCCUGGAAUCCAUUUAUCUACAAUUGACCGCUGUUCUAGGCCGUUUUAUGCAGGGAAAAAAAAAAAGUAUUCUGAUUACAAAGUAGUCUUUGUUUACGGCAGCGUUUUUAAAAAGCAAAAUUUGAUCUUGCAAUCUUUGAAGUUGAGUUUUCUUGUAUAAAAAUGGAAAAGAUUCAAAAUGUAAAAAUGUUAACAUCGUAAGCAUACUGACAAAGCUAGUUAAGUUCAAGAACUUAACCGCAGACCUAUUACUGGCUCAAUCCCACAGCAGUCUUUAGAGGAAAAGAUAGCAAUGAGUUUGUCAGAGUUUGAAUCUUAAAUGACACCCCCAAAGACCUAUAUGCUAAUGUUGACUGCGGGCCUCUGACAAGUGGGAAGUGGCACAACUCUUAGGAGUUGGGGUCUGACUGCAGGUAGUUCCAUAACUGAGGAGUUGGAGAUACUGGAACUCUGUCUCAUUUCUUUCUCUGUCUCUUCUGGGUGAGAUGAACCAUGCCACCACAAGCAUAAAGCAAGAUGGCCACGAAACUGAGCAAUGAAACUGUGAGCCAAAAUAAACCCUUUCCUCGGCAGAGCUGAUUUUCUCAGAGAGAGCCCUCCUCUACAUUCACAUUCUGCUGAACUCAGUUACCACCUCAGUCCUAGACUGUGACAUUUUACACAGGGGCUGAUGAAACCACCUGACUCACAGGAACAAGAGAUGAAUCGGAGCCACUGACAUUGGAUAUGUAGUGAGAGAAACAAGCCUUCCUUAGAAGCUGUAGAGACUAACCUUCGGAAUCCCAACAGACCCCACACGUUUCCUUUUUCCUCCAGGCUCAGAGAAACUAAUUUAGUUCAGAUUAAUUGUCCCGCUCCUUCACUUUACCUUAGGUCAUCACCUCUUGUUUCUGAGCUUUCAAAUUCACUUACAGCAGAAUUCUUAUUUAUUGUUUGUUUGUUUGUUGAAUUUGGGUUGGAGGUCUUCAAGACAGGGUUUUUCUGUGUAACAGCUCUGGCUGUCGUGGAACUUGCUUUGUAGACCAGGAUGGCUUCAAACUCACAGGGAUCCGCCUGCCUCUACCUCAGUGUUUUGAGUGCUGAAAUUAUAGGCUUGAGCCACUGUGCGUGGAUACAUGGAUAGCUAUGUUUUUAAUAAUUAGAGUCCUAAAAAAUAAUCUGAGCUUCUGUUCAAUAAAUUUUUAUUGCCACCACCUGAAA